rnacentral:rRNA from 1 species
GACGAACGCUGGCGGCGUGCUUAACACAUGCAAGUCGAACGAUGAAGAAGAGAAACGCGAACUUCGGUUCAAAUUUCACUUCGGAUUAGUGGCAGACGGGUGAGUAACGCGUGAGCAACCUACCUCUUACAAAGGGAUAGCCUCGGGAAACCGUGAUUAAUACCAUAUGACACAUUCAUAAGGCAUCUUAAGAAUGUUAAAGCUACGGCGGUAAGAGAUGGGCUCGCGUCCCAUUAGCUAGUUGGUGAGGUAACGGCCCACCAAGGCGACGAUGGGUAACCGGCCUGAGAGGGUGAACGGUCACAUUGGAACUGAGACACGGUCCAAACUCCUACGGGAGGCAGCAGUGGGGAAUAUUGCACAAUGGAGGGAACUCUGAUGCAGCGACGCCGCGUGAGCGAUGAAGGAAUUCGUUUCGUAAAGCUCAGUUCUAUGGGAAGAAAAGGACUGUACCAUAGGAGAAAGCCCCGGCUAAAUACGUG